AUUGAACGCUGGCGGCAGGCUUAACACAUGCAAGUCGAGCGAGCGGCGGACGGGUGAGUAAUGUCUGGGAAACUGCCUGAUGGAGGGGGAUAACUACUGGAAACGGUAGCUAAUACCGCAUACCAUCAGAUGUGCCCAUAUGGGAUUAGCUAGUAGGUGGGGUAACGGGUCACCGAGGCGCCGAUCCCUAGCUGGUAUGAGAGGAUGACCAGCCACACUGGAACUGAGACACGGUCCAGACUCCUACGGGAGGCAGCAGUGGGGAAUAUUGCACAAUGGGCGCAAGCCUGAUGCAGCCAUGCCGCGUGUAUGAAGAAGGCCUUCGGGUUGUAAAGUACUUUCAGCGAGGAGGCGUUACUCGCAGAAGAAGCACCGGCUAACUCCGUGCCAGCAGCCGCGGUAAUAC
rnacentral:rRNA from 1 species